CGAAACUCUCGACACUCUAGCCGAAAAACCCAAUCCAGUACAGCGGCCGAGACCUCUUGCCGCCACGCCGCCGGCCGCCGCCGCCACCCAUGCUGCGCGUCGUCUCCGCCCUCCGCCCGCUCCUCCGGAGCCCUCUCCUCCCGGGCCCUAAACCCCUCCCUCGCCCCCGCCGGCUGCCCCGGUCGUUCCGCGCCCUCUCGUCCUCGGCGCCUCUCGCAGCCUCCCCGCCCAGCGCGCCCGCACCUGCGCCCGGGGUGGUCCAGAUCAGCGAGGAGCACCUCGUGCGGUGCGCGGCAGCGGGGAGGGCGCCGCUGCGGGUGGCGGUGCUGCUGAGCGGCGGGGUCGACAGCAGCGUCGCGCUCCGCCUCCUCCACGCAGCCGGGCACAGCUGCACCGCCUUCUACCUCAAGAUCUGGUUCCAGGAAGAUUUCAGGAACUUUUGGUCCGAGUGCCCGUGGGAUGACGAUUUGAAGUAUGCACAGGCCGUGUGUGACAAGAUUGACGUGCCAUUGGAGGUGGUACAUCUAUCUGAUGAGUACUGGAACCAUGUGGUGUCUCAUAUGAUUAAUGAGUACCGCAACGGACGCACACCGAACCCUGAUGUUCUUUGCAACACAAGAAUAAAGUUUGGAGCUUUCUUAGAAGCAAUUGAAAAUUUGGGAUUUGAUUACAUAGCUUCAGGACAUUAUGCACAUGUAGUCCAUCCACCUGUUGAGAACGCUGAAGAGCCAUCGGUGCUCCAACUUUCGAAAGACGAGAUCAAGGAUCAAACUUAUUUCCUCUCACAUCUCUCUCAAGCCCAGCUUAGAAGGCUUCUUUUUCCACUGGGGUGUAUAACAAAGGAUGAAGUUCGCAGUCUGGCUGUUCAGAUGGACCUUCCUAACCAAGCUAGAAAGGAUUCUCAGGGGAUAUGUUUUCUCGGAAAGGUCAAAUUUAGUGAGUUUGUUCAAAGACAUAUAGGAGAAAUGGAGGGUAUACUUCUUGAGGCUGAAACUGGAGAUUACCUAGGGAUGCACCGUGGGUUUUGGUUCUAUACGAUUGGUCAGCGACAAGGUUUGCGACUUUCUGGAGGACCUUGGUAUGUUGUGGAGAAAGACGUGCAAAAUAAUGUGGUUUUUGUAUCAAGGAAUUACUAUUCACUGGAUAAGAGGAGACGAACUUUUCGUGUUGGAUCGUUAAACUGGUUUAGCGAUUCUGGGCCAGCAGACAAUGAACGCCUUAAAUGCAAGGUACGGCACAGUCCUGAUUUCCAUGAUUGCACCGUGACAAAAGAGCAAACCGAAGAGAACGGAGAUGUUUUGGCGGUUCGUCUGUCCGAAGACGACCAGGGUUUAGCAGCUGGCCAGUUUGCAGCGUUCUACCGUGACAGUGCGUGCCUGGGGUCAGGCAUAAUCCUGGAUUCCUGGGACGAAAUGAGCUUCCCUGUGUGCGCAAAGGCGCUGGAAACCGCUAGGAUGGAGGACAAGUCCAAGCUGGGGAAGCCCGUAAGGAUCAUGAACCUGGAGCAUCUUGUGAAGCCAGAACCGGAGCCGGCCAAGGUCGCUUGACAGGCAUGACCAGGUUUUUGUACCAUUGUCUUGUCGUACAUCACCAGUAUCAUGGGAAGAUAUAUUCAUCUGACAGUGUGAAAGUUGACACGCCCUGCAAAUGCAAGGAUCGGUGAAGUUCCAGAAACCAUCGUCAUGCUGCUCCGAUCAGGAGCUCCAUCCAGGUGGUUCUUUAAGAGGUGGCAUCCAUUGGCGACUUUGCGUUUGGGAGAAGAAAUGCUUUGCCACCGGAUAAAAGUGGUGAUGGAGCAUCAAUCAACGCAUGAUUGCCCAUGCAAGAACUGACCUGGCCUGACAUAGUUGCCGGGUCUAAGCAGGAAAGGCAAGCGGGCGAAUGGAUAGGCCUGUUGUUCCCUCUUGAGCCAAAAUGUCUAGAGUAGAGUGUUAGUAGUCAGCGGUACCACUUCUAACUGAUGCCCUGUGAAGUUAUGAUACGGCAACGCUAAUUUUUAUUAAUCAAUCAACAGGUUCUAGACUAAACCAGGAUGGUUAAUCACAAAAUCAUUCUCCUUUUUGCAUGGCAGCAUCCUGGAAUCUAAACUGGCUGCGUGCUUGAUUGUACUAGAAUGAAGGCAUGUGUGGGCAGCUGUGAGAGAGAUUAACAAAUUGUAAGCAUGUAGCACAUGGAGAGAGACGUGGUACCGUUCGUCAUGUCGCCGCCUGGAUUCUUUCUGGGGUAAGAGAUACCAGACCAGGAGUAGUAGCACGUACUGAUUAUUUUUUUUGUAUAAAAGGCCAGUAAAGCCACCUGGGCCUGGCGAUUUUUCUGAGGGCAUAUCCUUGAUAAUGUUCCUGGUCUCAACCUUGGAGAAGCAGACAGGUUUAUUCGUGAGUGCAGAUUUAUUUAAAAAUGGUGGCCUUUUUGUCCACCUAGUGCAUUAC
rnacentral:rRNA from 1 species